CCGGGGCCCGCGCUCCGCCUGCGGGGGCUGCCCCCGGGGAGGGGGAGGCGCGGGGAAGGACAGCAAGCGGAACAACUUCUGCUAAUCGAAAACAGAAAAGAAAAAAAAAAGGAGGCUUGUUCGUGGGACAUCUGCGAAGCUCAGUACCACGCGAGGCAUCCCAGCCGCAGUGAAACCCUCCAUGCUAGUGCAUCCCACCACAGUGACAGGAGGGACGCUGGCUGUGGCCGCUGUUCCCAAGCCCCGCUUGCAUUAGAGUCGCCUUGUUUUUCUGGCUGGAAGAUGAUUCCUGCAACAGGACCAUGUUGCUGAUGAUGAGCAGCAGAGUCGUUGGAAGAUGCCUUCCUUGAGGAUUACACGUGGAACGAGGCCAUCAGUCGAGGGGAGAGCUGGCUGGUGAAACUGUCUGACUUUCCCCCCACCGGGGAAGUGGCUUCAAUGGCUCCAUCUCCCAGGAGAAGCAGUAGGAAAGAUGCCAGCGCCCUGCCAAGCAUGUCCUCAACUUUCUGGGCUAUCAUGAUCCUGGCUAGUCUCCUAAUCGCUUACUGCAAUUAUAACAGCUAUUUUGGAGCGGAUAACCCUCAAUGGCUGUAUAUGAGACAUUGCCCGGGGUGCCUCCAAGAUGCUUUUGAGCUGGGUCAGCUGGCUGCAGGUACAUGUGAGAUUGUUACUUUGGACAGAGAUAGCAGUCAGCCCCGAAGGACUAUAGCCCGACAAACAGCUCGCUGUGCAUGUAAAAAAGGACAGAUUGCCGGUACAACAAGAGCAAGGCCAGCGUGUGUUGAUGCACGAAUUAUCAAAACAAAACAGUGGUGUGAAAUGCUUCCAUGUUUAGAAGGAGAAGGCUGUGAUUUGCUAAUCAAUAAAUCAGGCUGGACCUGUACACAACCAGGAGGACGGAUAAAAACAACCACGCCUGUCUGAGGCCAUGUGGUUUGGAGAUCUGAUCACUAGUCCGAAAAGGAAAGGCUGUUUGCAAGAUUUCCGGGGUGUUUUUUCCUGGAAAAGGUCUCCUGACAAAUGCAGCAACACAGAAUCCUCGUAGGAGUGGUUUAGGCUCUCUGUGAGCUACUUAACUUAGUCAAGUUUCACUGCUGUUGACCAUCAUCUGUUAUAUGUCAUCAACUCAACUGUCUGUUUCUCUGUAUCUCAUGAAUGACAGCAUAAUUCCUCUGCAUUAUGAGCUAAAGUUUGUUCUACCAUUCUAAGGAUCACUGGACUAAGGAAUAUAGAAAAAGAGAUAUGCUUGGGCAUUAGCAAUACAAAAAAGUUCAUGGUUAACGUUUCAUCUGCGUUAUACACCACUGCUGGACUUGCUGUUACCUACAUGUUUCAAUCCGAAGAGUCUGCUACAAUGAAGAGUAUCAUCCCAAUCAGCCUUAGAGAAGACUGUUUUGCCUAUGGGAGGACACUGAGGUGCAAAAGAGAAACUCUUCUUGUGCCCUAAACUGUCUGAAUUGCUUUUAUUUUCUUAUACUUUCAGUAUUUACAAUAGACCAAAGAGCAAAAUCUAUUUUAAAGUGGACACAAUCUUACUCUUAAGAGAGUUAUGUCAUUAAAUUGAAGGUCUCCACAAAGACAUGAUUCCAGCUUUCACAAAGCUGAAAUGUUGUCCAGCAGAAGUCUUUACGGAAAGCUGAAGUAAAAACUAACUCAGAAACCUGCUCUUGAAAUGCCAUGUUCAAGAGAACAUAAUGGAACACUGAGAGAAAAUUACCUAUGUUUGAAAAACUUGGACAAAAAGAACACAAACUGUCUAUACAGCACCUUUAUUCCUCUGUACUUAGAUUGACUUUCUCGUACUAAAAUCAUUUUCCGUUUUAACCAGUUAAACAUGCCUCUUCUACAGUUCCAUUUUUGAUAGUUAAAGUUGGAUAAUACAGUAUUUGCAAAGAGCAUGUUUGGUCAUCUGUGGCCUAUGUCUCAUCUGAUACACCAUUUAGCACCAGAAAGCAAAUUAAAGAGAAAACAAAAGUAACACUUGUUUGAAAGAGAUCAUUAAAUGUAUUUUGAAAAGCCUAAAGUUAUAUAUUUAACAGUUUUUAUAUGUUGUAUAUUUGUAGAAAAUCCUAUUUAACAAUUAACGUGAUAACUCUGACAGUCAUGAAAAGUGGUUCAGAGUUAAGUUGUGUUUUAUUACUUCAGUUGUCUCUGAAGUGACUGGUGUCGUUUGCUUUCUUCCACUGGGACAUUCUGGAUGUAAAGCAUGACCAGAGAGGACUGUGUAGAAAAAGCAAAGAAUAAUGUUGUUUAUAUUACAUAAAUGCAUUCAACCAUUGCACUGUUGGAAGGCAUUUUUUAUUUUUAUUUUUAUUUUUUUGUCUUUAUGUACUGAUAAAAAUAGAGUGUAAAAUAUUUUACUCAUUGCUCUUCAUAGCAAAGUUUUCCUUCCUUCCUUCCUUCCUUCCUUGUAAGGGUCAAUUUGAAGCCUGUUCCUUGAUCCCAUUUUCAGUGUUUUACCUCAUUGUUAGAAAGCCCACUUUUUCAGCAUUAUUGGUUAGUGAAAAUUUAGCAAAGACAGCAUAGACAAGGGAGAAAUUAUGAUAAAACAGAAACAAAAUCUUGUUUCUUUUACUGUACCUUUUGGCAUAUAAUUUUAGUACAUAUUGGUAUGAUACAAUCAACAAGGGAGCUUAAUUUCUUCCUGGCAAAUGUAUUACGGUUUCAAGUAUACUACCUAAUAGUCCAAUUAACUUUUAGUGUUAUGCUAGUUCUAUUCUAAUAAAGAAAGAAGAUAUAGAGAUUAUUCAAGUGACCAUAGAUGAAAGAUACAAAAAUGAAAAAUUGAUUAAAGAAUUUUUUAAAAGUCUACUCAAACACUGAGGCUUAUAUAAUGUAGAGGUUGCAGGAAAAUCUGAACUAUGGAUCAUUUUGUCUUCAAGCAAAAUAAAUAUAUACAAAAUUCUUAUUUAAUCAUAGGAUUUUGACCAGUAUCAAAGUAGCAAUUAAAGCCCAACCACUUGUAAAGUGUUAUGGACUGACUGCACUAUAAAUGACCAAUGUCAGGUUUAAAAUGUCAUGCAAUAAAUGAUGGUAAAUAGAUUUACUGUACAUGUAGACCUCAAGAGCCAGAUCCCUCACUCUACCAACUCUCUGUUUUGAUUUAUUUUAAAGGGAGCUUCGUAGCCUUAUUUAGUAAACACAGAAAAAAUGGAAGAUGUUGCAUCAUUUUUGUUGCUUUACAGUAUUCAGUUUUGUGUUGGUUCAGCUAAAUUAUGAAAAAUAAAGAAAAACCUUUUAUAAGUGAGACUUGUUCCCUGAGCAUGACAUCACCAAAGGAGUUCCACCAGAUGAUAAGAAAGGUGGGAACACAGAGAGGGAGAUGGAAUUGGAAACUGAGGACAUGAACUGUAUUUUGAAGUUUUACACUUUAAUUUUCAUGUCUUAGGUACCUUCAUUUUGGUGUAUUCAGUUACAGAUCAUAUUAUUGUCAUUUAUUUUCAGGAAAAGGGAUCCUCUAAGAACAAGAGGAUCUAAGAAUGGACAUCUGAAAUAUUUACAUCUAGAAUCAUACAGUCCAAUCAGUUAUGAAUAUGCAACCUUAUGUCUUUGUUUUCUAAUUACAUUAAAUAUUCAAAAAAAGGGUAGAUGUACAUGGUUAUAAGGUCUACUCUGGAUAAGAACUAUCAAAGAAAAAAAGUUUGAUUAUUCU